UUGGAGGGCAAGUCUGGUGCCAGCAGCCGCGGUAAUUCCAGCUCCAAUAGCGUAUAUUAAAGUUGUUGCAGUUAAAAAGCUCGUAGUUGAAUUUCGGGAUCAGUACGCUGGUCGUGCCUUUGGUAUGUACUGGUGUCACUGAUUCCUCCCUUCUGAAGAACCGUUAUGCCAUUUAUUUGGUGUGGCGGGGAAUCAGGACUGUUACUUUGAAAAAAUUAGAGUGUUUAAAGCAGGCUCGCGCUUGAAUACAUUAGCAUGGAAUAAUGAAAUAGGACGUUUGAUCUUAUUUUGUUGGUUUCUAGGAUCGACGUAAUGAUUAAUAGGGAUAGUUGGGGGCAUUAGUAUUCAAUUGUCAGAGGUGAAAUUCUUGGAUUUAUUGAAGACUAACUACUGCGAAAGCAUUUGCCAAGGAUGUUUUCAUUAAUCAAGAACGAAAGUUAGGGGAUCGAAGACGAUCAGAUACCGUCGUAGUCUUAACCAUAAACUAUGCCGACUAGGGAUCGGAUGAUGUUAAUUUUUUAAUGACUCAUUCGGCGCCUUACGGGAAACCAAAGUGUUUGGGUUC
rnacentral:rRNA from 1 species